rnacentral:misc_RNA from 1 species
CUACAAGUUCUAUAACCCGCCCGCCGACAAGUUGCCCAAUGUUAGUAUGACAGUGAAAAAUCACAGUACUGAGAAUGGGACAGGGCCACCAAGGAAAGAUAACUCCAGUGUUUCAGACUCGGUUUCCGAGCGAACUUCCACGUUUUAAAGGAAUCGUCCGUUAGUUGUCGUUAAUUUAUUUUAAUUUAAAGUUCAUCUGCAUAUAAUCCUCAUUUGACAGUCAGUGUCAAGCCACAUCUCUGUCACGUGGUUCUCUAGCAUUCCUGUUGUGUGUUCACAGUUUAUAAUUACAAUUUCGAUAAUCCAAAAGAGAGACGCGAAGAUUGUGGUGACGCCUAUAUUCAAUAUGAUUUGGGUGACAUUAAAAAGACGCAUUAUAAUUGAACAAAUAAAGCCACACUUGUACAGAUUUGGGUUUUUUUUUUCAAAACGACGCUUAAAUUCGAAGAUUCAAUGAUAUUGGUGACAUUGAGUGAAACCUGAAUGUGAAUAAAACUCUGAAAUCUGUGACGCAUAUGCGCAACCCAGUGUGACGCAAUACAAGUGAGACGCUGUCAUUUUAUUCAGCUGGAAUUUAGGGGACUUUACAAUUGUGGGGACGCCGUUUAGUGUGUGAGACAGCAUUUGUAAAUCUUGAAAUGAACACUACUUUUUUCCAUGAAGUUUCUUUAUUGUUGAUUCUAAGUACUUACAUAUAUUUCUUGUGUGCUGGUUCACAAAUGAAAUAUAGUUUGUUAUUGUGCUUACAUUGCAAUGUACAUGUUUCCAUAAUCUAAUUGUACUGUGAUAUUUUAUAUCAACAUCUUUAGACAGACAAACCAGGUUAAAUUACAUUUUUACCAUUUGAAUGCCACAAGAUUUUUAUUUAUUUUAUUAGAAUGGUUCAGCUGUUUAUUUCUCAUUUGAUUUGCCGACAACAUUUUGUACAUCCAACUCAGCAUAAUGAUAUUUUGUUUGAAAUACUCUAUCAUCACCUCAGAAUGUUCAUGAAAAAGAAGUAAUGGCGUCGACUGUAGACGCACACGUUCAGUUGGUAGAAGGUGCUGACUUUCUUGAUUAUUGAUUAUUUUAAGUUAUUUAUGUCAGAAUUAUGAAAGAUUUUAUUUUUACAAUAAAAACUUUUCCUUGAGGAAAGAGUACUCAAUCA